rnacentral:lncRNA from 1 species
CUUGAUAUUAACUACUCUUUGUUAUUUCCGGAUACAAACUACGUUUGAUAUUUUUAAUUUUACAGAUUUUAUCACCGUUUUAAAGCAGAGCUCUGGUUUUAAAGAAAGCCUAAAGAUGUCGGAAAGAAAAGUUUUAAACGUAUGUAUAUUUUAUCAUAUAGAAUAAUAGAAAAUGAUGAGAAUAUAUAGUUCACAGCCGUUUUCGUCAUGAAAAAUUUUCCCUCGCCAUUUCGUCCAUUUGUCUUUGGUUUAAUUUGUUGAUAAGAAAUAAAGCUGUCAAGGCGAAGCUAUCUGAUAGCUUAAACUGUUGAACAGAUGUUCAUUUCUUCUUUUGUUAAUAAAUUAUUUAAUAGAUAAGCUUUAUAGUCUACAAACAUUAAACAAGGAGAUAACAUAAGCUCUAAUGAGCUUUUAACUGGCAUGCCUUUUUUUGUGCUCUUUAUUAUUAAAGCUUAGAUAUAAUAAUUAUAUAUUGGCAGUUAGCAUACUACUACCUGGAAGCUUAAACCAGCAUUCACAUUCUUCACAUUGAUUUAAUUAAAUUGUAUAUUGAAAUCAAAUAAACUAAUAUCAUAAACAUUAGACUAUAUCAAUAUCGGAUACACUCUCCGACCGGUCUCACUAAUCAGCAACAAGAAGAAUUUUAGCGAAAAGAAGCUUCAAGAAAUGACAAGAACACUAUUAAGCAUCAGAAAAUAAAUUUAGUGACAAGAAAUUCAAUAUUCUAUCAGUAAAUAUAAAUUAUAAAAUAUUAAGUCAAUUUCUAUAGUGGGUCUCAUUGGGGUCUAUUAAAGCAUGACACUGGAUUGCUGACUUUUUGUAAGCAUGACAUGUGAAGGUCAAAUUAUUUUGUCGUAAAUACAGGAAACACAGGAAUUUACAAAAAAAAAAUGAGAAUUGCUUACGUACAUGUACAUAGUGUAAGAGGGAUACAGGAAUCUGACAAAACAGUAAGCGGGAUCCAGGAUCAGAACCCCCAAUGAGACCCCCUCUAUAGUAGUAUUAAAAGCAAAACACACUUUGAAUUGUUUGAAAUAUAUCUUAUUGCUACAUUUACCAUGAUUACAGCAAAUACUACGUUAUAAAUUUUAACAAUAGUUUUAGAAUUAUUAUAUAUACAUUUGUACAUGUAUUAUCUUACAAUUUGUUUAAUACUCUGUCUAAUAUAUAGUAAACUGACUGCAUGAAAAAUACAUUAUUUUUGCAUCAUUGUCCAGAAAAAAAACAGACAUAAUUUGUGAAUAAAUUGGAAAUCAUUGAAAUCAAACAAGAGAAAAACGUAACUCAACAGCAAAUUUUUACAUCAUUUUAUUAUGUGUAUGGCCUCAUUUGACAAUCGUGUUAAUGAAAAUACUGACGGUCUAAUCUAUAUAAAAUAAAAACGAGAAACACACAUAAAUUACAUAAACAAACAACAACUACAUGUACUGUACAUCAGAUUCCUGACUUAGGACAGUUUAGAUGGAACGGAAGACCAGUUUUCCCAAAUGACCUGUUUAUGUUAUUAGUGAAUGCAUAGUUUUCAUGAAAUCAGGUAAACCAGGACUAGAGACAACCUGGACCAAGACAAUAACUUAUUGGCCAAAUGAGCCUGUGUGCCUGUUGAAUGAUGCCCAAUAACAAUAGAUUAUUUAUACAAAACAGUAUUCAUACAUCUAAUUGAUUAAUUUUUUGAGGGGUUCAUAUUUUUUUUUCAAGUUUCAAGAAGGAAUCUUAAAUUGCACAAUACUGAACAAUAGAUUUUAAAGAUCUUUGACCACAUUUAUUUUAUGUUGAAACCUAAAUGUAUAUAAUGUCAAAAUUUUUAUCAUUAUCCAAAUUCAGAGAGUAUCAAGCUUGAAUAUAAUGUGUCAUGACUUGCCCCAACUGAUCAGGGUUAGACAUCUGCAGUCAUAUCAGGCUGCACUCAGCAAAGCAUUAUAUUCAAUAAAGGUUUUUGGACAUACAUUGUAUAAGCUGACCAUUGAAUGUAUUUUAGUUGAUUAGGUGGUUGGGUUGCUGUCUGAUUGACCAUGUUGACAUAUAUACUCCAAAUCUUCUUUUACUUAAUGCAACAUUCAUGAUUAUUUUUCUGUUUUAGAAAUACUAUCCAGCAGAUUUUGAUCCAAACAAUAUUCCUAAGAUGAGGAGAGAGAAAAAUAGACCUUUCAACAUACGUUUAAUGGCACCAUGUAACAUGAGGUAACAAG